UACGUAGGUGGCAAGCGUUGUCCGGAAUUAUUGGGCGUAAAGCGCGCGCAGGCGGUCCUUUAAGUCUGAUGUGAAAGCCCACGGCUCAACCGUGGAGGGUCAUUGGAAACUGGGGGACUUGAGUGCAGGAGAGAAGAGUAGAAUUCCACGUGUAGCGGUGAAAUGCGCAGAUAUCAGGAGGAACACCGAUGGCGAAGGCAGCUUGCUGGGACGGUACUGACGCUGAGACGCGAAAGCGUGGGGAGCAAACAGG
rnacentral:rRNA from 1 species